GGUUGCAGCCAAUUACAGUUGCAUUAGUUUACGUGGGAACAACCCUUAAGGAUCUAUCUGAUGUGACUCAUGGCUGGAAUGAAUUUUCAAAGUCUGAUUGGGCAUUUCUCGUGUUGGGUCUUUCGAUAUCUGG